UUCCUUUCAAUCCUCCUUAUUUCUUCUGAGUACUUUUUAUCCUAUAGGAUUAUUUAGUUUGUUUUCACAUGUUAAGGUGAAUAUUUCAUCACGUUUUCUAGCUACGUAUAAAUCUUAAACAAACCAAUUUUAAGUUUUUGUCUAGCUACAAAACGUACAUUUUGAGGCAGCUAGCUAUAGCUAGCUUUAUUUAUUCAUAUACUUUUGUUUUUAUUCAGUUUGGUAUAUUAUUAUUUAUUUUUAUGUUGAAGUUGGGUCUACCUAGCUAGCUCCUCUUUUAGCUACAUCCUGCUAAAAAGUGAAAGUAGCCAAAUGCAGUUUGGCUGCAAGUGAAAGUAGCCAAAUGCAGUUUGGCUGCAACACAAUUCUUAUGCUAAAUGCAGUUGGCAGCGGCCACUUUUAUUACUGAUUUAAAAAUUUAUUAUGCAAAAUAAAAUUGCUGAGUAAUUUUUUAAACUGAACCAGGUUAAUGCCAGGCUGUUCACUGAUUUCUUUUAAAACCGAAGCGAUAAGGAUUUUUGGAAAAUGGUAUUACCCCUAUGCUCAUGUAUGACACGAUUCUAAAAGCCUUAUAUAUUUGUAAUAUUUGUUUUCUGUUUGUUUUCAAUGUUAGGAUAAAUAUAUUGUCACGUUUUUUAGCCACGUACAGAUCUUAAACGCACCAGUUUUAGGAUGUUUGGCUAGGAACGAAAAUUAGCUAAUUAUAGCUACUAGCUAGCUAGAGCCUCACUUAUUGCUAUUCUGUUUGGUAUAAGAGCUUUUUAUCCUAGCCAAAAUUUAUUUUUAUGUUGAGGCUGUGGCUAUUUAGCUAGCUCCUUAAAAAGUGAAAGUAUAAAAAUGCAGUUUGGCUACAACAAUAUUCUUAAGCAAUAUAUAAUUUUUAUGCUAAAUGCAGUUAGCUAGCUAGGUAUAGCUACAUAUUUUAUUAUUUUUCUGCAAACUUUUUCUGCAAAUGAAAUGGCUGAGCGAUUGUUUUGGCUGGACGAGUAACGACAGGCUGUUCCCUGUGUUUUUAUUUAAACCGAAGGUGCAAUGAACAUUUUUGGAAAAGGGUAAUAUGCCUUAUGUGCCUGUUCAACUGCGUUUAACUGUACUAAGCGGUUAGCCCAGUGUUAAAAACAGACUGUUUUUUGUAAAAGCCUGUUACGCCUAUGGGCAUGUGCAACACCGUUUACCUGUAUAUACUAAAGUCAGCCCACCACUGUGACAAUUAAUUUUUAAACUUUCUUGGGAAUCACGCCUGGACUAACCGCUUAGCCUUGUGUCUGCGAGAAAGUUUUUUCAAAAGGGUAUUAUUCCUAUACGCUGUACAACACGGUUUAACUGUACUAAGUGCUCAGCCCAGUGUCACGAUUAAUUUUUUAACUUUUAAAAAGACUUAUUCCACAAAAUAAAAUUAUAUUGACCGAUUGUUUUUGCUAGGACAGGGUAACAACGGUUUGUAAACUCUGUUUUCAUAUCAGCUAUUGUUACGGGAAAGUAAUUUAAAAAAAAUAUUUUACAGUCGCACACUAUAAUGGUGUAUGCGCUUAACUUGAUUUACGCCUGUGCAACACGGUUUAACUGUACUAAGCGUUCAGCUCAGUGUCACGAUUAAUUUUUUAACUUGCGCAAAAAGUUAUUCCGCAAAAUGAAAUAAAAUUGACGAUUGUUUUUGCUAUGAUGGAGUAACAACACUUUGUAAACUCUGUUUUUAUAUCAGUUAUCGUUGCGGGAAAGUUAUUUUUUGAAAAAUAUGUUACAGUCGCACACUAUAAUGUUGUAUGCGCUUCAAAUGAUUAACGACAUACUGUAUACCUGUACUAAAGCGCUCCACCUGAUCGUGUGGGACAGUUUACAGCUCUUAUUAAGCGCUCCACAGAGUGUGCAAUGCCGGAUCACACCUUUACUUGUGGCUUAACCCGGCGUUUCGACGCCGGGUUUCCCGGCUAGUCUCUUUAAUAAUAGCCGUAUUUUGUCUGUCUCUGCGCGGACCCCCCGCUGAGUUAGAAAAUGAUGAUACGGAAACACGAAUAUCAAAUGCGAUAUAUUUUUAUCCACUUUGUUCCCACGGGUAAAUUUAAAGGACGGGCGAACCCGUGGAUUUUACCACGGGUUAACGGCUAGUCUCUUUAAUAAUAGCCGUAUUUUGUCUGUCUGUCCGCGAAAGAUGCGUCCCGUAACGGAAACACGAAAUUUUGUAAAUUACGCGCCGAUACCAAAUGCGAUAUAUUUUUAUUGACUUUGUUUUGACCGCUCGCGCGUGGAACACCAUUCACAACGCCUGAUUCUUUAAAAAAAAACCAAGAUUUUCGCGACCAGAAAGAAUCCAAGAUCUUCGCGGAACGAAGGCCAUUUUGAUAAUGGUCGUGUUUGUGGUCAGUGUGUGAGGUUUGUAGGCCUGUUUGACUUUUUUAUCUUCUAAAAGCCUUAUAUAUUUGUAAUAUUUGUUUUCUGUUUGUUUUCAAUGUUAGGAUAAAUAUAUUGUCACGUUUUUUAGCCACGUACAGAUCUUAAACGCACCAGUUUUAGGAUGUUUGGCUAGGAACGAAGAUUAGCUAGCUAUUAGCUAGCUAGAGCCUCACUUAUUGCUAUUCUGUAUGGUAUAAGAGCUUUUUAUCCUAGCCAACAUUUAUUUUUAUGUUGAGGCUGUGGCUAUUUAGCUAGCUCCUUAAAAAGUGAAAGUAUAAAAAUGCAGUUUGGCUACAACAAUAUUCUUAAGCAAUAUAUAAUUUUUAUGCUAAAUGCAGUUAGCUAGCUAGGUAUAGCUACAUAUUUUAUUAUUUUUCUGCAAACUUUUUCUGCAAAUGAAAUGGCUGAGCGAUUGUUUUGGCUGGACGAGUAACGACAGGCUGUUCCCUGUGUUUUUAUUUAAACCGAAGUUGCAAUGAACAUUUUUGGAAAAGGGUAAUACGCCUUAUGCGCCUGUUCAACUGUGUUUAACUGUACUAAGCGGUUAGCCCAGUGUUAAAAACAGACUGUUUUUUGUAAAAGGCUGUUACGCCUAUGGGCAUGUGCAACACCGUUUACCUGUAUAUACUAAGGUCAGCCCACCACUGUGACAAUUAAUUUUUAAACUUUCUUGGGAAUCACGCCUGGACUAACCGCUCAGCCCUGUGUCUGCGAGAAAGUUUUUUUCAAAAGGGUAUUAUUACUAUACGCUGUACAACACGGUUUAACUGUACUAAGCGCUCAGCCCAGUGUCACGAUUAAUUUUUUAACUUUUAAAAAAACUUUUCCACAAAAUAAAAUAAUAUUGACCGAUUGUUUUUGCUAUGAUGGAGUAACAACACUUUGUAAACUCUGUUUUUAUAUCAGUUAUCGUUGCGGGAAAGUUAUUUUUUGAAAAAUAUGUUACAGUCGCACACUAUAAUGGUGUAUGCGCUUCAAAAGAUUAACGACAUACUGUAUACCUGUACUAAAGCGCUCCACCUGAUCAUGUGGGACAGUUUACGGCUCUUAUUAAGCGCUCCACAGAGUGUUCAAUGCCGGAUCACACCUUUACUUGUGGCUUAACCCGGCGUUUCGACGCCGGGUUUCCCGGCUAGUCUCUUUACUAAUAGCCGUAUUUUGUCUGUCUGUCCGCGAAAACCGCGUCCUGUUACAGAAACACGAAAUGCGAUAUAUAAAGGACGGGCGACCCCGUGGAUUUUUCCACGGGUUAACAGCUAGUCUCUUUAAUAAUAGCCGUAUUCCGUCUGUCUGUGUGUCCGCGAAAGCGGCGUCUUGUAACGGAAACACGAAAUUUUUAAAAUGCGCACCAAUACCAAAGGCGAUAUUUUUCUGUCCACUUUGUUGCAACGGGUUAAUUUAAAGGACGGGCGUCCCCGUGGAUUUUUCCACGGGCUAACGACUAGUCUCUAUUAUAAUAGCCGUAUUCCGUCUGUCCGUCUGUCCGUCUCUGCGCGGACCCCCGCUGAGUUAGAAAAUGAUGUUACGGAAACACCAAUAUCAAAUGCGAUAUAUUUUUAUCCACUUUGUUGCGACGGGUAAAUAUAAAGGACGGGCGACCCCGUGGGUUUAUCCACGGGCAACGACUAGUCUCUAUUAUAAUAGCCGUAUUCCGUCUGUCUGUCUCUGCGCGGACCCCCCGCUGAGUUAGGAAAUGAUGUUACGGAAACACGAAUAUCAAAUGCAAUACAUUUUUAUCCACUUUGCCGCGACGAGUAAAUAUGAAGGACGGGCGAACCCGUGGAUUUUUUCACGGGCAACAACUAGUCUCUAUAAUAAUAGCCGUCGUCUGUCUGUCUGUUCAAAAGGGUUACCGAUAUUCCUUUUAUCUUUCCGCGAAUUUUUAGAAAACAGGGGGUUGUUUAAUCGCAAAUCAAAUUAUUGAUUAAAAAAAAUCCUUAAAAUUAAUUUAUUUCUUUAAUUAAUUGAAUUACUUCAAUUUAUUUCCAUAAGUAAGAAAAAAAAUUUAGUGAUAAAAAUGAAUGCAUUAUUUUAAUACGCCAUUUUUAAUAAUGAUUACCCCCGUGACCUCAAUCGCCGUUUUCGCUCAGGAGCUACAGAGAACAAAUGGGACAGUUUACUGACAGUUUAACUGACUUUGUUUUGACCGCUCGCACGUGUAUACCAAUCAAAACGCCUUAUUCUUUGAAAAUCCAAUCAAGACUUUCGCAGCCUAGAAAUGCCAACGAAGAAACAUGAUGGCCAUUUUAGUUUUUAAAAAGUAAAUGGUGGUCAGUGUUGUUUCUAAGUCUGUUUCACCUUUUUGUCUUCUAUAAGCUUUUUAUAUUUGUAAUAUUUGUUUUUUUUAUGUUCUAAAAUGUGAAGAUAAAUAUACACGUUUUUUAGCUACGUACAGAUCUUAAACGCCCCAGUUUUAGGAUUUUUGGCUAGGAACGAAUAUUUUGAAGGCUAGCUAGCUAAUAGUGUAGUACAAUAGCCUUACUUUUUACUAAUUUUGUUUGGUAUAAGAGGUUUUUCUCCAACCCAACAUAUCGCAAUAUUCUCAGCAAUAAAUCUUAUGCUAAAUGCAGUUUAGCUAGGUAGCUACAUCUUUACUUAUUUUCUUUAAAAAUUUUUUUGCAAAUAAAAUGGCUGAGCAAUUGCUUUAGCUGGAGGGGUAACGACAGGCUGUUUCCUGUGUUGUGAUAAAGUUUUUUUAGAGAAGGGUACUGUUCACAUCUGUUUGACUGUACAAAGCGGUCAGCUCAGUCUUAACAAUAGCCUGUUUUUUGAAAAAGGCUGUUACGCCUAUGCGGGUCAUCAGCCCACUGUGACAAUUAAUUUUUAAACUUUCUUGGGAAUCACGCCUGUACGAAUGUCCAACAAUGUUUACCUGGACUAACCGCUUAGCCCUGUGCAAGAAGCGAAGGACUGUUUCUUGUGUUUUCAUUUAAAUAGAGUCUGCAAGAAAGUUUUUUUCAAAAGGGUAUUAUCCCUAUACACAUGUGUAACACUAUUUAACUGUACUAAGCGCUCAGUCUGGUGUCACGAUUAAUUUUUCAACUUUUACAAAAACUUAUUCCGCAAAAUAAAAUAAUAUUGACCGAUUGUUUUUGCUAUGACAGAGUCACAACAGUUGUAAACUGUGUUUUUAUUUCAGCCUUUGUUGCGGGAAAGUUAUUUUUUGAAAAAUAUGUUACAGUCGCAACACUAUAAUUUUGUGUGCGCUUCACUUGAUUUACGACAUACUGCAUACCUGUACUAAAGCGCUCCACCUGACUGUGCCGCACAGUUUACAGUUCUGUUCUUUUUAAGCGCUCCUUAGGGCGUUCAACAACAGUUACUUGUGGCUCAUCCCGGCGAUUCGACGCCGGGUUUCCCGGCUAGUCUCUUUAAUAAUAGCCGUAUUUUGUCUGUCUGUCCGCAAAAGAUGCGUCCCGUAACGGAAACACGAAAUUUUGUAAAUUACGCGCCGAUACCAAAUGCGAUAUAUUUUUACCGACUUUGUUUUGACCGCUCGCGCGUGGAAUACCAUUCACAACGCCUGAUUCUUUAAAAAAAAACCAAGAUUUUCGCGACCAGAAAGAAUCCAAGAUCUUCGCGGAACGAAGGCCAUUUUGAUAAUGGUCGUGUUUGUGGUCAGUGUGUGAGUUCUUUCGUCGUAAAUGCGAUCAAAGAGGACGACGUUAAGGUACACGCGAUGAAAGGGGAUGGACAUUGCCUGUUGUAUGCCAAAGAAUUUGCGAUGCAGAUGAAAGGCGUGUCCGCCAUUCCAUCCAUACAAGGAAUAAUUGAUAUGAUCCGAUUUGAACUAUUGAAAAAUAUCGAUUUCUACGCUGAAUUCAUCAGAGAUAUCGACAUACUACAUCAGUUUGAUGAAUAUGCGCACGAAACACGCUACGAUAGUGAUAUUGUGGACCUGGUUCUCCUUUUCGCUUAAAAAAAUGGUGUUCAUGAUUCAUGACACAUUUUUUGAUGGUGCGUAAAGGCUAUUUUCCACUAUAAGGAAAUUUUCUGAAGAACGGAACGGACAGAAACAAAACAGAACAGAAAAUUUUCUUCAAGUAUUUUCCACUUUAAAAUAUUGCGCACAUUUCAACACAGAAAGUAAACACACUUUGCGCAAUUCUCACGAAAUAAAAUAAUCUGAUUGGCUAAAAAAUUUUCUACCUGUCGUUUCCGUACCCAACGCAACGAAAUCGAUUCUACUUUGCUCGGAACGGAACGGACAAGAAAAUUUUCCGUUCACGUGAUGUAAACAUUCUAAGUACGCAUGCUCAGAAGCUUUUCUGUUCCUUUCCGUUCUGUUCCGCGGAAAAUUUUCUUGAAGUGGAAAACAGCCUUAAAACGAGACAACUCUUUGUGUAUGAUGUCGAUUUCACCUUUCUUUAGUUUUUACAAUUUUUAAUAAUCUUUUUUACAGUUUCUGUUUUAUUCUUUUUUCAAUGUGUAUAUAUUUUUGAAAUACGCCUUGUAUGAUUUUUAUUUUUAUUUUUCAUCUUUUUUAGAACUUCUGUUCAUUCUUUGUUUAAACAUGUAUACAGCACACAUUGGGAAUGACUACCAUCGACUUAUCAUACUUUCCA